CGGAUCCCAUCAGAACUCUGCAGUUAAGCGUGCUUGGGCGAGAGUAGUACUAGGAUGGGUGACCUCCUGGGAAGUCCUCGUGUUGCACCCC
rfam:Gossypium arboreum cultivar AKA8401 contig_86337_3, whole genome shotgun sequence.